GGAAGGAUCAUUCACGUUUAUUGUAAUAUCAAAAUUGUUGAAAUUUUUGGGCGUCGGGCUUGCUGCAUCCGAUGGUGCGAACCUAGUUUGUUGCAACUCGGCGUUCCAACAAUCUAAUGAAAUGAAAUCCAAAACAAAUUAUUAAACUUUCAGCAAUGGACGUCUUGGCUCCCAGUUCGAUGAAGGACGCAGCAAAGUGCGAUAAGCUAUGCGAAUUGCAGACAUCUGUGAGCCAUCAGGUUUCUGAACGCAAAUGGCGGCUUUUGGGACUUGUCCCUAGCCGCACUUGGAUCAGUGUCGCAAAUAAUACACAAAUAUUCCUAGGUGUCGUUUGCUCGCAAUUCGUCGCCUUCUUUACUAGCAUCUUACUUUACAAGUGUUACUAUAUUUAGAACAUUUUGUAGGAUGCCGACAACAACUAACCGACCUGAUCUCCAGUGAGACAACCCGCUGAAUUUAAGCAUAUAAUUAAGCGGAGGAAAGGAAACUAAGCAGGAUUCCCUUAGUAAUGGCGAACGAAGAGGGAAGAGCUCAAAAUGUAAAUCGUGUGCUUUAUGCACUCGAGUUGUAGUUUCUAGAAGUAUCACCAGUGAACGUCGCAUGGCAAAAGUCUCUUGGGAGAGAACACCAAAGAGGGUGAGAGUCCCGUAUUUGCUGUGCAGAACGCUUACAAACGGGGUACUUUCGUAGAGUCGUGUUUCUUGGGAGUGAAACGCAAAUUUGGUGGUAAACUUCAUCUAAAGCUAAAUACAUUUGGGAGACCGAUAGCGAACAAGUACCUUGAGGGAAAGAUGAAAAGAACUUUGAAAAGAGGGUUAAAAUUGCCCGAAAUUGCUGAAAAGGAAGCGGUGGUGAUCUGUGGAUCCUUAUGUUGAUUGCCAUUGCCGUGGAACCUUAAUCAUGAUACCAUGGUUUUGUGUAUCUGCAGCUGUGGUUGUUAUUUCCAUGAGGAAUUGGUAGUCGCAGCUUGCGGUUGGGCCGUAUCGAUAGAGAUUAUCGAUGUCUCAUCGCUUAAUUUCUGUUGGUUUACGCGCACCACAUGCUGUUUGCAUCGUCAAGAAGUUCGCUUCGGCAUUUCUUUACGUCGACUACCGAUUGAUUGCAACCGGCCCGUCUUGAAACACGGAUCAAGGAGUCUAACAGUUAUGCGAGUCCGCAGGAGGCAAACCUUGCGGCGUAAUUAAUGUGAUUUGCUUACUGCAUAAGUAACCGACCACAAUCUUUGAGAGAGGUUUGAGUAUGAGCAUAUCUGUUGGGACCCGAAAGAUGGUGAACUAUUCCUGAAUAGAGUGAAGCCAGGGGAAACCCUGGUGGAGGCUCGUAGCGAUACUGACGUGCAAAUCGUUCGUCAAAUUUGGGUAUAGGGGCGAAAGACUAAUCGAACCAUCUAGUAGCUGGUUCCCUC
rnacentral:misc_RNA from 1 species